CCUCGAUUCUUUGUAUUCGCUAGGAAGGAGAGGGGAGCGGUUUACAUCCGUCGUCCCAUCGGGUAUACGCUUUUUAUAUACGUUUUCGCCUUCGCUCCGUUCGACCGUCGAUAAUUCGGCGAGAUAAUUUGGCGUGUAAAUACGGGAGGAAGGAGAGGGGAUGUUGUUCGUUGGUCGAAUUGAAGGAAGAAAUUAUCGCGGAAACGGUUCGUAACGGUCGAGUUAUUUUGCUGUCGUUGCAGUAGCGUUUAAACAUCGAUGAUUAGAUUAUUUAAUUGGUACGCGUUGUAUAUAUUAUUCGAUACAAUUAUUUUGGUGAUUAUUGUGUUCGUUGUUUGAAUCUGAGACUGUUAUUUCUUGAGGAAAAUUUCACGGAGAAGAUACUUGGAAGUGGAAUAAAUGUUGGCGGGAAGAAAUUUCGAAAGAUUUAAGAAUUAUUAUUACAAGAUAAUUGGUUCAUUUGGAGUUAAACGUGGUAAUGUACGUUUUAAGAAUAAAUAAGUAGAAAAAUGUCGAUGUAUUGUUGUAGAUCUGAAACUAUUUCCCAUUUUUUAAGAGAAAUUUCGCUUCGAGGAAAUUUGAAAAGAUUUAAUAAUCCGUGAAAAGACAAUUGGUCCACUUUCACGGGGAAAUUGGAACGUGGAAGUUUACGUUUCGAGAAUAAAUAAACAGAAAAAUUCCACGAGAAGAAAGUUCAAAAGAUUUCAAAAGAUUUGAUAAUCCGUGAAGAGACACAAUUGGUUUUGAGGGAAACUGGAAUUAAAAAAAUUCCGCGGGAAGAAAUUUUAAGGAGAAUUGGGCAAAUAAAUAGAAAAAAAUAUCGAGAAGGAAUUUCAAUAAUCUAUGAGGAAUGCAAUUGGUCCAUUUUGAGAGAAAUUAAGACUACAUGUUUUAAGAGUAAAUAAAUAAAUAAAAAGAUA